GUAAGAACUGGUGGAAUAGGGCAAAGACAAAAACCUGACUAAAUAGGCAGGCAAAUCGCUAGGGACCACAAUUUGUGACCAGUAGGUCACUGGUUCCAGUCCGGGUGGCGUCCUGCUGUUGAACGUUUGAAUGCUUCAAAGCUAGUUUGAUAAGUGAGGUUAUGUUACGUCUGCAGUGUGAAACAAAUACUGGAAAUUAAAAGCAGCUGUAUAUUUUGGUUAAAGUAAUCCCCUUCUGCCUGGCUUCCAGUGAUUCAGACCCCCGGGGACCCUGACCAGGACAAGCAGUUAAUGAAAAUGGAUGGAUGGAUGGAUGGAUGGAUGGAUGGAUGGAUAAACUGAAGUCCAGCUGCAGAGAAUGAGAUUGGAUUUACUGGAACUGUACUCAGCGAUCCUGCAGGUCGCGGUGAUUUCGGGCACGGGGAGAGGCGCGCUCCCGCAGCAGCUCGCGGAGACGACGAGGAGAACGACGCCGGCGCAGGCGGGCACGAGGGAGGAAACGCGGACACGCACGCAGGGAUCACCGUAACCCGCUGACAGGACGCGUCCGCACGCGCACGACGGCGGAGGUGUUGAAAUAUCCCAUCUCAUCAUCACUCGCACUGCUUCCCGCCCCCUCGUAACCUGGGGAUGAACGCACCGAUGAGGAGCCUGACAGUGAGUGCUGCGGCCCCACCCCCCUGUCUGUCAACAGCACCCCACUGAAUGUCGCAUAUA
rnacentral:lncRNA from 1 species